CGAGUGGCUCAGCCAAUACGAGCCACGGCAUACAGCUCAGUAACACGUGGCUAAUCUGCCCUUAGGACGAGAACAACCCCGGGAAACUGGGGCUAACUCUCGAUAGGCGAAGAACUCUGGAAUGAGUCUUCACCUAAAUAGUUCAGCGUUACGCUCGUUGGAUCGCCUAAGGAUGAGGCCGCGACCGAUCAGGUUGUUGGUGAGGUAAUGGCUCACCAAGCCUUUUACCGGUGCGGGCCGUGAGAGCGGGAGCCCGGAGAUGGGCACUGAGACAAGGGCCCAGGCCCUACGGGGCGCAGCAGUCGCGAAAACUUUGCAAUACACGAAAGUGUGACAGGGCUAUCCCGAGUGCCAUCCGCUGAGGAAGGCUUUUACCCAGUCUAGAAAGCUGGGGGAAUAAGGAGAGGGCAAGUCUGGUGUCAGCCGCCGCGGUAAUACCAGCUCUCCGAGUGGUGUGGAUGUUUAUUGGGCCUAAAGCAUCCGUAGCUGGCUAAGUUAGUCCCUUGUUAAAUCCACCGAAUUAAUCGUUGGAUUGCGGGGGAUACUGCUUGGCUAGGGGACGAGAGAGGCAGACGGUAUUUCCGGGGUAGGGGUGAAAUCCUAUAAUCCCGGGAAGACCACCAGUGGCGAAGGCUGUCUGCUAGAACGCGCCCGACGGUGAGGGAUGAAAGCUGGGGGAGCGAACCGGAUUAGAUACCCGGGUAGUCCCAGCUGUAAACGAUGCAGGCUAGGUGUUUGGACGGCCACGUGCCGUUCUAGUGCCGCAGGGAAGCUGUUAAGCCUGCCGCCUGGGGAGUACGAUCGCAAGAUUGAAACUUAA
rnacentral:rRNA from 1 species